GGUUGAUCCUGCCAGUUGUCAUAUGCUUGUCUCAAAGAUUAAGCCAUGCAAGUGUCAGUUCACGCCCGUGGUUUACUCCACCUGGGCGAAGCUGCGAAUGGCUCAUUAAAUCGGUUCAAAUUUUCCCGGUGGUGAUAGUAACGACGGAUAACUGUGGUAACUCUAGAGCUAAUACGUGUUGUUGAGAGUGUGGGUCCGCUGUGGUGAGUGUUGACCCCUUGUGCAGACCACCGUCAAAAGUGGUGCGCCGGAAAAUGUCCUGCCCCAUCAACUCGGACGGUAGCGUAGCGGA
rnacentral:rRNA from 1 species